UUGUUAUAUAAGUGUGGAUCUCGUCCUGUGAAUUUGUGAAUUAUGAGACAGUUUUAGCUCCAAAGAUUAGAACAGCGGUUCUUAACCUUUCUUGAGGUACCGAACCCACCAGUUUCAUAUGCGCAUUCACCGAACCCUUCUUUAGUGAUAAAUAAAAUAAUUUUUUUUUUCCAAAUUCAAGACA